GACGAACGCUGGCGGCGUGCCUAAUACAUGCAAGUCGAGCGGACUGAUUAAGAGCUUGCUCUUAUGACGUUAGCGGCGGACGGGUGAGUAACACGUGGGCAACCUGCCCUGUAGAUCGGGAUAACACCGAGAAAUCGGUGCUAAUACCGGGUAAUAUCUGAGAUCACAUGAUCUUAGGUUAAAAGAUGGCUCCGGCUAUCACUACAGGAUGGGCCCGCGGCGCAUUAGCUAGUUGGUAAGGUAAUGGCUUACCAAGGCGACGAUGCGUAGCCGACCUGAGAGGGUGAGCGGCCACACUGGGACUGAGAGACGGCCCAGACUCCUCCGGGAGGCAGCAGUGGGGAAUCUUCCGCAAUGGACGAGAGUCUGACGGAGCAACGCCGCGUGAGUGAUGAAGGGUUUCGGCUCGUAAAGCUCUGUUGUUAGGGAAGAAACAGUACCGAACGAACUAGGUCGGUACCUUGACGGUACCUAACCAGAAAGCCACGGCUAACUACGUG
rnacentral:rRNA from 1 species